rnacentral:lncRNA from 1 species
ACACUCUAAGAUAAUCCGGACGCAGAAAGGAUAGCAAGACUGGAUACCGAUACUCCCCUCUGAUGGGGAACUUUCAUGCUUGGCGACCAUAUUUUGGCUUUUCUUCUAUCUCGGCAAUGGCUGCAAUGGCCUUCAGUGCCAGAUCAAGUUCCUCAUCUUCACAAAUCAUUCCGACUAUGCAAACCGAAACAAACAGAUGCGAAAGUAGCACGUAAGAUGCAUCAGGAUGGUCUUUUUAAUUUGGGUACACCUAUCCUAGACGGACUCAACCCCUAUGUUGAGUCCCCAAUGUCAAUUGCAUGUGAUGCAAAUAAGCGUUCCUACUAGGGAUCCGGCAUAAGGCUAUGUUAUUCUAGGUUUAAAAACCUGGUGUAUUUGUUCUAGACCUGGCUUACCCGAGCAGACAGCUCGAGCCGAUGGGGGGCAGCAUACUGGUAAUACAGAAGUUUCACCGGCUUUGCACCUUGUCCGAACCUCGUUCUAAAAUUGGGAUAUGACUCUAACAGAAAAUAAGUUACAUGAAGUGUACACUUCCCAGAUGAUUUAGAAGACUCAGAGAGAAGAGGAUUUCGUAACAGUUUAUAUACAAUUCAAACAAUAUCAAAGCGGUAAAAAGCGGCAUUUAGUACAUUAGGCCCAAACAUAUAAAAAUCAGAUAAUAAAUAAAGCCAAGUAUAACAGUCAUUCUAAGUUCGAAUUCUUGAACCCUAAACCAAAUGUUCUGGGUUAUGGUCCUCAGCAGAGUCGCCAGAGCUGUCACACUUCCUUUUGACCACCCGAGGGGGAUAUAAGGGAGUUUUUCUAAUUAAAGUGACAUUAAUCAAAAUGGUAUUAUUUUAUUAAAUUUAUCAGAUUCGCCACUUGGGAUAAUUAUUUGGUGUCCCAAGUCAUCGGUUUAUUUUGAAAUCCCAAAUCGAGGAAAUUUUGACUUUAUUUUUAAAAAGUCUGCGAACCAGAAAUUCUAAGUAAGGAAUUCUGUUAACCCGGGAGAAGGUGUUAAGCAUUUUCGGGUUCCGUGAUUCUAGCACGGUCGCUUAAACUAUUAAUAUUGCCCUAUUAUCUAAUUUGCUACAUAUUUUAAACAUAAUAUGCAUUUUUAAUUUUAUAGCCGCUUUUAAUUACUUUAAACUGCUUUUAGGAUUUAUGGAAUUGUUUCUUAAACAAGUUACGAUUGUCGUACACUUGCCGUUUUGGAACAUACCACAAAUUACGCUACAUGAAAUGUACCUGCGAUUCGCGAUACGUUUAUUUUUAUUAAUAUUUAAAGUUGUUAUGAUCGGGUUACAUGAAAUGCACCCCCGAAUUUUGGAACUAGGCAUCGUAACUAUGUCACGGGAACCGUACCCAUAGUCACGAUGGUAUAUUAAUCGCGCCUAAAGCAACUAGCGCGUGUAAAAAAAGGUUGUUUUUCUAUACUAAGUUAAUAUUAAUGCGAGGGCCAUAGCUUAUGGAUUUUAUUUGUGUAUGGUACACCUCAAAUUAUUUUAAGAAAAGGUUUAUAUAUUUUUUCUUCUAAGGAAAACUAAAGAUGCUCCUACUUUAAUCUAAUUUUGCAUCACAACCAUGUCACGGAACCGUACCCGUAGUUGUAAUAAUUUACAAAAAAAAAUGCCAAGUUCGCAAGGUUUCUCUCCAAAAAUUUCAACUACUGCCUACUUUCCAUUUUAGUGCAUUUCAAACUGUUAACCACUGUCGUAAAUAUAGCAAGUUUUUAUUCCUCCAAUAUUCAAACUAAUAUAAAAUAGUACUCUUUCCAUUGGAUCAACUUUGAGUUGACACCUCUAUACCUUUAUGCUCCUUGAUAAUCAACCAAAGUAAAAAUCGAAAUGAGAUAAAUUUGACUCAAAUCUUUUCCUUUGGUUUGUUCCUUUGGAUUCACAGACCCCGACAUCAGAUAUAGAAGCAGAGGUUCCUUUCUUCUAAGAGUAGAAACAAAAUGAAAGCUCCACUGCUCUCUUUUUCUUUUCACUUCAUUUGUUUUAUUUGUUGGAGGAUUUUGUUGAAAGUGUAUUAUAACAUAAAGAAAUACAGAUGAUUUAGUGGAGCAAGUGAAGCAUCUAUUUUCAAAUGAAUCUGACGGACACGACCAUGUGGUUCGCCAUUUUAUUGAUAUUCUGAAAUUGUGGAUUACACAAAAAAAACACAAACAUGCAUAUGUAUAUUUUGCUAGUAAUUUGCUUAGUAAGUUCACAGAGAUUCAAUUCAAGCUACUGAGAUCAGAAACAAGGUUAUAGCAGUGUAAUUAAUUACUCCUCAUGUCAUUAUAAAAUGAUUUCCACAACCGGCAACUUCUACAAUAACGUAGGAGGGAGCUGAUUGACUCAAUGACUUCAGUGAUGUUUAAAAUCUUUCAUUCAGGACCUUCAACACAAGUAGAUCUAGAUUAAAUUCGAACCACCAUCAUAGAUUCAUAAAUAAAAAAAAAUUAGACUUUCCUAAAUUAUUCAAAUCCAUCAAGACCCUAUUCAAACAACUCAAAAUCUUAGUGGAGAACAAUAUAUUCAGCAUUAAACAUCGAUUAAGAAUAAGAGAAAAAGCAACAGAACUUGAAGCUUAGGAAAACAUCUCUUAAUCAGUAUGAGACUUAGCAGGUAUACAACAAAGUUUCAUCCAUAAUUCAGAAUAAGAGAAUAAGUUAGGAUUUACAUACCUAAAGCAAAGAAAUAUAAGGCAAUGACCAAAUAAAGGUUAAGUUUGAGGGCAAAUGGAGCUUGAUUAAAUAGGAGCAACCAAGCAGUAAUCAGCAGCCUCAUGAGUUCAAAUCCAGCAGCUUCUAAACCCGGAAAAUUGUUCCCCAACUCUUGCCUUUAGAUCCUUUUCUAAGUUUUUUUUCCGUCUCCCUUUUUGUGUGUGCUUGUGUAUGUUCAUGAAUGGGAAAGGUGAGAAGAGGAGAGUGGGGGGGGGGGGGGGGGGGGN